rnacentral:lncRNA from 1 species
CUGAAUUGUCAAUGCGGAAAUGUAAACUGAAGUCUAAUAAUCCACUAUAUACUUAAAAUUCACGUCAAAAUAUACUCCAUGUAAACAUCUAAAAUCAUAUGCACAUAAACCGUCUGAUCAAUACUCUGUACACGGCCGUAUCCCCUCAGUGCACAAGGUGGAAACAACAUAAUCAUCCUUAUACACGACUGUAACUCCUUAGUGUAUAGGAGUUAAAUACACAACUCUAGUACACGGUUGUAACCCCUCAGUGUACAAGAUGGAAAUAACAUAAUCAUCCUUAUACACGGUUGUAGCCCCUCAGUGUAUAAAAGUUAAAUACAUGACUCUAGUACACGACCGUAGCCCCCUCAGUGUAUAGGAGUUAAAUACAUGACUCUGGUACACGAUCGUAGUCCCUCAGUGUAUAAGAUAGAAAUAACAUAAUCAUUCUUAUACAUGGCUAUAGCCUCUCAGUGUAUAGGAAUCCCCUCAGUGUAUAGGAGUUAAAUACGUGACUCUAGUACACGAAUGUAGCCCCUCAGUGUACAAGAUGAAAAUAACAUAAUCAUCCUUAUACGCAGCUGUAGCCCUCAGUUUAUAGGAGUUAAAUACAUGACUCUAGUACACGGCCUAGCCCCUUAGUGCACUAGAGUAAGGUAAU